rnacentral:rRNA from 1 species
AACGAACGCUGGCGGCAGGCCUAACACAUGCAAGUCGAACGCCCGUAGCAAUACGGGAGUGGCAGACGGGUGAGUAACGCGUGGGAACGUGCCCUUGGUUCGGAAUAACUCAGGGAAACUUGAGCUAAUACCGGAUACGUCCGUAAGGAGAAAGAUUUAUCGCCGAAGGAUCGGCCCGCGUCGGAUUAGCUAGUUGGUGAGGUAAUGGCUCACCAAGGCGACGAUCCGUAGCUGGUCGAGAGGAUGAUCAGCCACACUGGGACUGAGACACGGCCCAGACU